rnacentral:rRNA from 1 species
UGGGGAAUUUUACACAAUGGGCGAAAGCCUGAUGUAGCGACACCGCGUGAGCGAAGAAGCCUUUUGGGGUGUAAAGCUCUGUCAGCAGGGACGAAAAAAAUGACGGUACCUGCAGAGGAAGCAUCGGCUAACUACGUGCCAGCAGCCGCGGUAAGACGUAGGAUGCAAGCGUUGUCCGGAUUUAUUGGGCGUAAAGAGUUCGUAGGUGGUUUGUUAAGUCUGACGUUAAAUACUGGGGCUCAACCCUGGAGCUGCGUUGGAUACUGGCAGACUUGAGUGUGGUAGAGGCAAGUGGAAUUCCAGGUGUAGCGGUGAAAUGCGUAGAUAUCUGGAAGAACACCGGUGGCGCAAGCGACUUGCUGGGCCAUAACUGACACUGAGGAACGAAAGCUAGGGGAGCGAAUGGGAUUAGAUACCCCUGUAGUCC